rnacentral:tRNA from 2 species
GGGCGAUUAGCUCAGUUGGUUAGAGCACUUGCCUUACAAGCAAGGGGUCGUAGGUUCGAAUCCUACAUCGCCCACCA